rnacentral:rRNA from 1 species
GUCUAUGACCAUACCACCCUGAAUGCUCCCGAUGCUGUCUGAUCUCAGAAGCUAAGCAGGGUCGGGCCUGGUUAGUACUUGAAU